rnacentral:rRNA from 1 species
CCUACGGGAGGCAGCAGUGGGGAAUUUUGCGCAAUGCUCGUAAGAGUGACGCAGCGACGCCGCGUGAAUGACGAAGGCCUUCGGGUCGUAAAGUUCUUUCGACAGGGAAGAAAAUGCCUAUAAGUAACUGUGUAUGUAUUGACGGUACCUGUAUAAGCAGCCCCGGCUAACUCCGUGCCAGCAGCCGCGGUAAUACGGAGGGGGCGAGCGUUGUUCGGAGGGACUGGGCGUAAAGAGCACGUAGGCGGUGUUGUAAGUCAUUAGUCAAAGACUAGAGCUCAACUUUAGUAAGGCUAGUGAAACUAUAAUACUAGAGUAUCAGAGAGGAUAGCAGAAUUCCUGGUGUAGCGGUGAAAUGCGUAGAUAUCAGGAGGAAUACCGUUAGCGAAGGCGGAAAUCUGGCUGGAAACUGACGCUGAGGUGCGAAAGCGUGGGUAGCAAACAGGAUUAGAUACCCUAGUAGUC